GAUGAAGAACGCAGCGAAAUGCGAUAAGUAGUGUGAAUUGCAGAAUUCAGUGAAUCAUCGAAUCUUUGAACGCACAUUGCGCCCCUUGGUAUUCCAUGGGGCAUGCCUGUUCGAGCGUCAUUUGUACCUUCAAGCUUUGCUUGGUGUUGGGUGUUUGUCUCGCCUUUGCGUGUAGACUCGCCUUAAAAUAUUUGGCAGCCGGCGUAUUGAUUUCGGAGCGCAGUACAUCUCGCGCUUUGCACUCAUAACGACAGCGUCCAAAAGUACAUUUUACACUCUUGACCUCGGAUCAGGUAGGGAUACCCGCUGAACUUAAGCAUAUCAAUAAGCGGAGGA
rnacentral:misc_RNA from 1 species